rnacentral:rRNA from 1 species
AGAUUGAACGCUGGCGGCAUGCCUUACACAUGCAAGUCGAACGGAUUUUGGGGCUUGCUCCAAAGUUAGUGGCGAACGGGUGAGUAAUGCAUCGGAACGUGCCCAAUCGUGGGGGAUAACGUAGCGAAAGUUACGCUAAUACCGCAUACGUCCUGAGGGAGAAAGCAGGGGACUCGCAAAGAGCCUUGCGCGAAUGGAGCGGCCGAUGCCGGAUUAGCUAGUUGGUGAGGUAAAGGCUCACCAAGGCGACGAUCCGUAGCUGGUCUGAGAGGACGACCAGCCACACUGGGACUGAGACACGGCCCAGACUCCUACGGGAGCAGCAGUGGGGAAUUUGGACAAUGGGGGAAACCUGAUCCAGCCAUGCCGCGUGAGUGAAGAA